rnacentral:misc_RNA from 1 species
UCCGCUUUACAGCGGCAGUUUGUUCCGAGUCCCCGGCAUUAUCCGCUGGUAACAGAACAUGAGGGUUGCGCUCGUUGCGGGACUUAACCCAACAUUUCACAACACGAGCUGACGACAGCCAUGCACCACCUGUGCACCACCCUCGAAGGCUGAUGGAUUUCUCCACCGUGCAGGUGCAUGUCAAGCCCUGGUAAGGUUCUUCGCGUUGCAUCGAAUUAAGCCACAUGCUCCACCGCUUGUGCGGGCCCCCGCCAAUUCCUUUGAGUUUCAACCUUGCGGCCGUAGUUCCCAGGCGGUUCACUUAAUGCGUUAGCUGCGGCACCGAGGUGAAACCCCGACACCUAGUGAACAUCGUUUAUGGCCAAGACUAC